rnacentral:rRNA from 1 species
CCGCUCAGAGGUAAACGGGUGGAGUUGAACUGCGAACCCUGAGAAUUCAACUGGUGAGUGUGGUAUGAGCUUGGCAUGAAGGUUGGCUCUGCGGGUCUGCUUAGCUGCAGGUCUUCGCCUUUUGGUGGAGAUGCGCGAUACACUUGUCAAGUGGUGCGCGCUCGUUGAGUUUCUCGGACAUACUUGCCAGUGCACUUUCUCGGGGUGUUCACCACGACCGGCGCCGCUACUUGUCCAAUAUGGUUAAACCGGUCUUGCUUGGUCCCUGUGGCUUUGCUUGAUCGGGAUGGCAGGUAACUCGUUGACUUGUGUGUUGACCUCGGUUGGCAUGCGCUUGGUUUUCGAGUGUAAUCAGCUGACUGUAUUGGUGCUAUGUGGUGCGUCGGAGACGGCGGCUUGUGGUGUGUGCCUGCGUGCCUAUUUGCUGACGGAACCGGGUUUGGUUAUUAUGUUGCCUGUUUUGCAGGCCUGGUGAUGGCUCGGUUUCGCUUGGUGGAUGGGAGCGUGGGUGACACUUAUCAGGGCCUAUAGUCUGUGGUGUUGUGGUAGACUAUCCACCUGACCCGUCUUGAAACACGGACCAAGGAGAGUAACAUGUGCGCGAGUCAUGGGGUGUUACGAAACCCAAAGGCGAAGUGAAAGUAAAGACUUGACUUGUUCGAGUUGAGGUGAGAUCCUGUCGUUUCUCAUGCGCGGUACUUCCAAGCAUUCGAGCGAUGGGCGCAUCACCGGCCCGUCCCAUGGUGUGGUCACUGUCUUCGGAUUGGUGCGUCACCGGGGCGGAGCAUGAGCGCACAUGUUGAGACCCGAAAGAUGGUGAACUAUGCUUGCGCAGGUUGAAGCCAGAGGAAACUCUGGUGGAGGACCGUAGCGAUUCUGACGUGCAAAUCGAUCGUCAAACGUGAGUAUAGGGGCGAAAGACUAAUCGC